CAGUCGCCACGGUAAUACGUAGGGUGCGAGCGUUAAUCGGAAUUACUGGGCGUAAAGCGUGCGCAGGCGGUUAUAUAAGACAGAUGUGAAAUCCCCGGGCUCAACCUGGGACCUGCAUUUGUGACCGUAUAGCUAGAGUACGGUAGAGGGGGAUGGAAUUCCGCGUGUAGCAGUGAGAUGCGUAGAUAUGCGGAGGAACACCGAUGGCGAAGGCAAUCCCCUGGGCCUGUACUGACGCUCAUGCACGAAAGCGUGGGGAGCAAACAGGAUUAGAUACCCCUGUAGUCCCUGUCUCUUAUAC
rnacentral:rRNA from 1 species